AUUGAACGCUGGCGGCAUGCUUUACACAUGCAAGUCGAACAGUAACAGGCCUUCGGGUGCUGACGAGUGGCGAACGGGUGAGUAAUGCAUCGGAACGUACCCAGAGGUGGGGGAUAACGCAGCGAAAGCUGUGCUAAUACCGCAUGUGAUCUGAGGAUGAAAGCGGGGGACCGCGCAGCAAUGUUUGGCCUCGCGCCUUUGGAGCGGCCGAUGUCGGAUUAGCUAGUUGGUGGGGUAAAGGCCUACCAAGGCGACGAUCCGUAGCUGGUCUGAGAGGACGAACAGCCACACUGGGACUGAGACACGGCCCAGACUCCUACGGGAGGCAGCAGUGGGGAAUGUUGGACAAUGGGCGCAAGCCUGAUCCAGCAAUGCCGCGUGCGGGAAGAAGGCCUUCGGGUUGUAAACCGCUUUUGGCAGGAACGAAACGGUGUCCGCUAAUACCGGGCGCUAAUGACGGUACCUGCAGAAUAAGCACCGGCUAACUACGUG
rnacentral:rRNA from 1 species